rnacentral:rRNA from 16 species
UCGCCUCCUAAAAAGUAACGGAGGCGUACGAAGGUAAGCUCAAAUUGAAAAGACCAAUUUAAGAGCGUAAUAGCAUAUUGUUUGCUUGACUGAAAGAUUGACAAGUCGAACAGAGAUGAAAAUCGGUUAUAGUGAUCCGAUGAUUCUGUGUGGAAAAGAUUAUCGCUCAACGGAUAAAAGGUACGCCAGGGAUAACAGGCUAAUCAUUCUUUAGAGACCCUAUCGAUGGAGUGGUUUGGCACCUCGAUGUUGGAUUAUCGCAUCCUGGAGCUGUAAAUGGUUCCAAGGGUUUGGCUGUUCGCCAAGAAAGGCGGUACAUGAUCUGAGUUUAGAACGUUGUAAAACAGUUUGGUCCCUAUCUACCGUGAGUGUUAAAAAUUAAAAGGGGUAGACCUUAGUACGAGAGGACCGGGAAAAGUAAAUCUCUGGUGAAUCGAUUGUUAUUAUAGUAGCAUUGUCGAAUAGCUAUAUUUAUAAUAAAUAAUUGUUGAAAGCAUCUAAACAAGAAA